AACGGGAUUCUUAUCGAAUCAACAUCAUAAUCUUGUACAUAGUCCGCUAUUCUGCAGUGAUUUUCUUCCAAUCCAGUAUCAUUUGUACGUUGCAGCAUCAUCGAACACGGCCGAUGAAACAGAAGAUAACGUGCAUGUAGAUGUUACGAGAGAGCUCAUUUCACAAUGGACAACAGAAGUGUUACGUGACUUUCUACAAGGAGGGGACUCAAGCUUGGAAAUCGAGUACCGGUAGUCAUUAUUUUAUGGGUGUUCUCUGCCUUGACGCGGUAGCUGUUCAGCCAUCCGAGGUAGACACUGUGAGGAACUGGACAAUGGAUGGAUUGGGGGGGGGGGUGGGGGUAGGCAUGCAGAACUGGCCUACUAUGUUUGUAUGUACCUACUGGAUAAGGACCCUCCAUCACUAGAGGGAAAAAUAAUGAGAUACUACAAAGAGGGGAAGGCAUAUAGUUAUUUUGCCUUGUGAAAAAAUUAGAUUUAGCCCCUAAAAAAGUGUUCCUUCGGGUAUCAAAUGACGACAGGUGAAACCUCACAGUUGUAGAAUUAUUAUCUGUAAUGUGAUUUCCAAACCAUGUGACAGCAAAUGGUGUAUGGUGUAUGUUGUAAAGGUAUUGUAAAAUGCAUUGUUUAACAAUGUAUAACAAUGUUUAAACCGAGAUGGACGUAUGGCCCUACGUGCUACCAGUGUCUGUGAUA